rnacentral:lncRNA from 1 species
GCUGCGCGGGAGGCUGGGCUGGGGGUGAGGUGGCCCAAAGGUGGGCUUGCAGAAGUAAAGGAAAAGUCUUUUCCUCCUCUCGGGAUACAGCUUGGUCUCCUCCAUGGCCGGGGGCGGCGACGAGGUCGGCGCUGAGCGCGCGGAGAAGCUGGAGAUGUAUUCUUGCUGGAGUCCCGGAUCGCCUGCCCAGAGCUUGCCUUUUCCUUGGUCCAAUGAGUCUUGGAAGCUGUGAGUGUCCAGGCAUGCGCCAUGGCCUUCCCUGGUAAGCUGGGUCAGAAACACAUCCCUUUGCUGUAGAGAAGAAAUUGGAAUGACAUGUGCAGACAAGGGAAAUUAAAAUGACUCUCCAUCAUCACGCAGUUGGGACAUAAGUCCUUGCUCUUGAACCACUCCGGAGACCCAGUACUGAAGCAGGCGAUAGAGAGGACCCAGGCUGAGCAACUGUAAUCUGUUUCCUAUGGACAGAUAACUUCAAGAUAAAAGUUGCUUCCGGCUUGGAUGAAAGAUAGAGACCAUCUCUGUCUCAUUCUUGAGGUCAAGGACACCUCCGGAACUACACACUCGCAGAAAGGUUCCUCGGGGUCAGAGAAAGGAGGGACACUAGCCCACACGACUUCCUGUGAACUUCCCAGAGACCUUUGCGCUAACAUCCAUCCUGAGGACAGGGCCCUGGGUCAAGCCAGAGCCAGAAGACGCAAGAUGAUUGGUCAGAGGAACCCGGAAGGACUGCAGAGGUAGGAGAGAUUCAAACAGCCUCCAAAGCACGGGUUGCUCUCUUCCCUCUCUUGCUCUGUCUCUGUCUUUCUCUCUCCCUUUCCAACCACCCCCCACCUGCCAGCCUGCCUGAGCCUAUAUUUUCUCCACACCUGUCUUCUCUCUCUUCUCUCUUUAAAGAAACCCUUGAUUGCCUCACUACCCUCAGUCUCUUUGCCAAAUUCUUUCUCCGAAAGGACAAAGUUCUGGGGACCCACAUCAAGUGGUUAGAGUUCAGCGUUCUCACCCAACAGUGACUCGAGCACAGUACCUUCCUUCUCAGUCAGAGGAAAGUCUGCACAUCUAGGUGACCUCAAGUGGACCCAAUAGAUGCUUACCCUGUGCCCACCUUGAGCAAAGCUAAAGGACAUGUGCAGAGUAUCUGAGAAGAAUGUGUUUUUGAUGCAUUCUGUUGCUACUGAACACCCACUGAAUGGCUAAAAUAAGAAAGACCGAUGACACCAAAUGCUGGUGGGGAUGGAGCAGCUGGGCCUCUCAUGCUCUCUUUGCUGGAGGGGUUGCCAUGGUCCAGCCACUGGGGGAAACACUUUGGCAGUUUCUUAAGAGUUAAACCUGCCCUUUCUGUAUGACCCACCCAUCUUACUCCUAGGUAUUUAUGCAAGAGAGAGGAAGAGUUUUGUUCACACAAAAACACACACAGGAAUGCUGAUAACUUCUUUAUUCACUAGAGUCCCAAACCGGAAACAACCCAAAUGCGCAACAACAGGCAACAUCCAUCCAUACAAUGGAAUACUAUUCAGUAAGGAAAAAGAAAGGAAUUGCUGAUGCGGACAACAAAAGGGAUACAUCGCGAAGGGUUCCAGUAAGUGAAAGAAGCCAGUCACAUACUCAAAAAAAAACAAAAAACAACACCCUGACACCCUAAAUAUUACAUGAAAGCAUAUAUAUGAAAUUCUAGGAAAGGCAAAGCAAUAGUGAGUGAAAGUAGAACAGGGGUGACCAGGGGCCAGAGAUGCAGGGCAGGGGUGACUAUAAAGCAGCCCGGGGCGGGGCCUGGGGAGUGAUGGGGACAUCCUGUAUCUUGAUCGCGAAGGUGGUUAUAUGGUGGUAUUCAUUUGCCAAACUCAUCAGACUAGGCACCAAAAGUCCAUGAAUUUUACUGUGUUCCUCACUAAAGGAACCAUUUCUCACUAAAGCUGAUCAAAAAUAUAUUUUAUAAUUU